AGAGAACAGAGACAAGUGCCUGGUAAAUGCCCGAAACAGCUAGUGGCUGACCCGUGGCACUUGAAUACCAUUCAGAUGUUUCUCAGUCAUUAUUUAGGAUUUAAAACUCAUUCAAGGAUCCUUGGAGAGAUCCACCAGAUUGUAAAGCAGAUGCCAUCCUUAGGAAU